UACGAAGGGUGCGAGCGUUAAUCGGAAUUACUGGGCGUAAAGCGUGCGCAGGCGGUUCGUUGUGUCGGGCGGUGAAAGCCCCGGGCUCAACCUGGGAAUGGCCGUUGAAACUGGCAAGCUAGAGUAUGGUAGAGGGUGGUGGAAUUUCCUGUGUAGCGGUGAAAUGCGUAGAUAUAGGAAGGAACACCAGUGGCGAAGGCGACCACCUGGACUGAUACUGACACUGAGGUGCGAAAGCGUGGGGAGCAAACAGG
rnacentral:rRNA from 1 species